rnacentral:rRNA from 1 species
AAAGUUUCCUUCGGGAGGCGAGUAGAGUGGCGCACGGGUGAGUAACACGUAGGUAAUCUACCUUUGGAUGGGGAAUAACAACCGGAAACGGUUGCUAAUACCGCAUAAUGCAGCGGCACCUAAUGGUGACAGUUGUUAAAGCGGGGGAUCGAAAGACCUCGCGUCUGAAGAGGAGCCUGCGGCGGAUUAGCUAGUUGGUAAGGUAACGGCUUACCAAGGCGAUGAUCCGUAACCGGCCUGAGAGGGCGGUCGGUCACACUGACACUGACAUACGGGUCAGACUCCUACGGGAGGCAGCAGUCGGGAAUUUUGGGCAAUGGGCGAAAGCCUGACCCAGCAACGCCGCGUGAAGGAUGAAAUCCCUCGGGAUGUAAACUUCGCAAGAACAGGAAGAAUAAGUAGGGGACAAUACCCCCUAUGAUGACGGUACUGUUUGUAAGCUCCGGCUAACUCCGUGCCAGCAGCCGCGGUAAUACGGGGGGAGCAAGCGUUGUUCGGAUUUACUGGGCGUAAAGGGCGCGUAGGCGGCCACCGCAAGUCAGUUGUGAAAUCUCUGGGCUUAACCCAGAAAGGUCAACUGAUACUGCGGGGCUAGAGUGCAGAAGGGGCAACUGGAAUUCUCGGUGUAGCGGUGAAAUGCGUAGAUAUCGAGAGGAACACCUGCGGCGAAGGCGGGUUGCUGGGCUGACACUGACGCUGAUGCGCGAAAGCUAGGGGAGCGAACGGGAUUAGAUACCCCGGUAGUCCUAGCCUUAAACGAUGAAUGCUUGGUGUCUGGGGUUUUAUAGUCCCCGGGUGCCGUCGCUAACGCUUUAAGCAUUCCGCCUGGGGAGUACGGUCGCAAGACUG